rnacentral:rRNA from 1 species
AUACGUAGGUGACAAGCGUUAUCCGGAUUUACUGGGCGUAAAGGGCGUGUAGGCGGUCUUGCAAGUCAGAAGUGAAAUUCCUGAGCUCAACUCGGGCGCUGCUUCUGAAACUGCAGGACUUGAGUGCUGGAGGGGAUAGCGGAAUUCCUAGUGGAGCGGUAAAAUGCGCAGAUAUUAGGAAGAACACCGGUGGCGAAGGCGGCUAUCUGGACAGUAACUGACGCUGGGGCGCGAAAGCGUGGGGAGCAAACAGGAUUAGAUACCCGGGUAGGCCACGCCGUAAACGAUGAAUACUAGGUGUAGGGGGUAUCGACUCCCUCUGUGCCGCAGUUAACACAAUAAGUAUUCCGCCUGGGGAGUACGGCCGCAAGGUUGAAACUCAAAUGAAUUGACGGGG